GACGAACGCUGGCGGCGUGCUUAACACAUGCAAGUCGAACGGAAAGGCCCUGCUUUUGUGGGGUGCUCGAGUGGCGAACGGGUGAGUAACACGUGAGUAACCUGCCCUUGACUUUGGGAUAACUUCAGGAAACUGGGGCUAAUACCGGAUAGGAGCUCCUGCAGCAUGGGGGGGGUUGGAAAGUUUCGGCGGUUGGGGAUGGACUCGCGGCCUAUCAGCUUGUUGGUGGGGUAGUGGCUUACCAAGGCUUUGACGGGUAGCCGGCCUGAGAGGGUGACCGGCCACAUUGGGACUGAGAUACGGCCCAGACUCCUACGGGAGGCAGCAGUGGGGAAUAUUGCACAAUGGGCGGAAGCCUGAUGCAGCAACGCCGCGUGCGGGAUGACGGCCUUCGGGUUGUAAACCGCUUUCGCCUGUGACGAAGCGUGAGUGACGGUAAUGGGUAAAGAAGCACCGGCUAACUACGUG
rnacentral:rRNA from 1 species